rnacentral:rRNA from 4 species
AACGAGAUUCCCACUGUCCCUAACUACUAUCUAGCGAAACCACAGCCAAGGGAACGGGCUUGGCAAAAUCAGCGGGGAAAGAAGACCCUGUUGAGCUUGACUCUAGUCUGACUUUGUGAAGAGACAUGAGAGGUGUAGCAUAAGUGGGAGCCAAGGGAUCAAUCUUGGCUGUUACUUCGGUGGCAGUUAAGACCCCUUGGCUACAGUGAAAUACCACUACUCUCAUAGUUUCUUUACUUACACGGUUAAAGGGAAGUUGGGAUAGUGUCUCUCUCACUUGGGUUUACCUCAGGGUUCGGGAAGGCCUCCUAUCCUUAAAUUCUAGAGCAAAGUGUGGGUACUUUCAUCAAUGCUCAAGACCCUAUGACUUGUCUUGUUCUUCGGGACUUGAUGAGACUUAGACUUGAGUUUGAAAGGUAACGUGGGUGUACCGUAAAGAAACUUGUUUCUGGUGCAUACUACAAUCUGCAUGAUCCUCACCGUGGACAUUGUCAGGCGGGGAGUUUGACUGGGGCGGUACAUCUGUCAAAAGGUAACGCAGGUGUCCUAAGGC